rnacentral:rRNA from 1 species
GACGUAGGGCGCGAGCGUUGUCCGGAUUUAUUGGGCGUAAAGAGCUCGUAGGCGGCUUGUCGCGUCGAAUGUGAAAACUCGGGGCUCAACCCCGCGCUUGCAUUCGAUACGGGCAGGCUCGAGUUCGGUAGGGGAGACUGGAAUUCCUGGUGUAGCGGUGAAAUGCGCAGAUAUCAGGAGGAACACCGGUGGCGAAGGCGGCGAUCUGGCCCAACAUUGACACUGAGACCCGAAAGCGUGGGGAUCAAACAGG